rnacentral:rRNA from 1 species
GGACGAACGCUGGCGGCGUGCCUAACACAUGCAAGUCGAACGGAGUGUUCCUUCGGGGGACACUUAGUGGCGAACGGGUGAGUAACGCGUGAGGAACCUGCCUCUCAGUGGGGGACAACAGUUGGAAACGACUGCUAAUACCGCAUAAUGUUUUCGGACCGCAUGAUCUGGAAACCAAAGAUUUAUUGCUGAGAGAUGGCCUCGCGUCUGAUUAGCUAGUUGGUGGGGGUAAACGGCCCCACCAAGGCGACGAUCAGUAGCCGGACUGAGAGGUUGACCGGCCACAUUGGGACUGAGAUACGGCCCAGACUCCUACGGGAGGCAGCAGUGGGGAAUAUUGGGCAAUGGGCGCAAGCCUGACCCAGCAACGCCGCGUGAAGGAAGAAGGCCUUCGGGUUGUAAACUGUUGUCGCAAGGGAAGAAACAAAUGACGGUACCUUGUGAGAAAGCCACGGCUAACUACGUG